rnacentral:tRNA from 1 species
GAUAGCUCAGUCGGUAGAGCAGGGGAUUGAAAAUCCCCGUGUCGGCGGUUCGAUUCCGUCUCUGGGCACCA